UACAGAGGUCUCAAGCGUUGUUCGGAAUCACUGGGCGUAAAGGGUGCGUAGGCCGCACGGUAAGUCAGAGGUGAAAUCCCGGAGCUCAACUUCGGAAUUGCCUCCGAUACUGCCGUGCUUGAGGACUGGAGAGGAGAUUGGAAUUUAUGGUGUAGCAGUGAAAUGCGUAGAUAUCAUAAGGAAGACCAGUGGCGAAGGCGGGUCUCUGGACAGUUCCUGACACUGAGACACGAAGGCCAGGGGAGCAAACGGG
rnacentral:rRNA from 1 species